GGGGUGGAGGUAGCAUUAGUUGUGGCUCCAUAUUAGGCAUGCUUGGGACUACAAAUGUGUUGGACUACAGAUCCCAUGAGUCCAAGUACUAUAAAGGGGGAAAUCAAAUCUUCUGGCCUUUCUCUUUGUGGGACCAUGUGCUGCGUAGGAGAAGCUGUGUGUAUGCUUAAAGGAUAUAUACUGGUGGAUGCCUCAGAAAUUGAGUAGAUUCAUUCAUUAACACAGAUGAUGCAUGAUUGCCGUUUACUUUUAUCUAAAAUAUUGGUGGGUUAAUGUUGGGUUGUAAGAUAUGACUUUUAACAGUUACACUAUGAUGAAGUUAUUUGCAUUUCUUGUGGGACUGUGAUUUUGUUUUGUUUAUUUGUCUUCGUUUUGUGUUAAUCAACCAAAGACAAAGGGGUUCCCAUUCUUGUAUGCAUGGUUGACUCUUAAGGUGAUUGGGCACAAUUUGUAGUGGUUUGAGUCAAGUGCGUGUUGGUUUUCUAUUACACUUGUGUUAUUGGUUUUGUGCUGUGAUUUGAGUGUAUUCUUUAAUAGUGGAACUGCCAUUGUAUGGGAUUGGGGAACCCUAUGGUCUAUAGUGGGUUAAACCUUUGUGUUUUCGUUUCUUUGCCACUUCUUAUUACCAUUUUUGUUUAAUAAAUCUGUUUGUGCUUGCAAGGAAACACACUGUGGUUGUUGCCCUUCUUUUACACCUUCCCCAUUACUUGUAAGGCCUGGGGAGGGUUACAAAUGGCGUAGUCGGCAGGGUCUGUUUGAUGUUGGGCAGCACUACAGUGUGUUACUGUGGACCUUGUUUUUUUUGUUGUUGUUGUUUAUUUAUUAUUAUUAUUAUUAUUUUAUUUUUUGCACUGA